GUGUCAGCAGCCGCGGUAACACCGGCGGCCCGAGUGGUGAUCGUGAUUAUUGGGUCUAAAGGGUCCGUAGCCGGUUUGGUCAGUCCUCCGGGAAAUCUGACAGCUCAACUGUUAGGCUUUCGGAGGAUACUGCCAGACUUGGAACCGGGAGAGGUAAGAGGUACUACAGGGGUAGGAGUGAAAUCUUGUAAUCCCUGUGGGACCACCUGUGGCGAAGGCGUCUUACCAGAACGGGUUCGACGGUGAGGGACGAAAGCUGGGGGCACGAACCGGAUUAGAUACCCGGGUAGUCCCAGCCGUAAACGAUGCUCGCUAGGUGUCAGGCAUGGCGCGACCGUGUCUGGUGCCGCAGGGAAGCCGUGAAGCGAGCCACCUGGGAAGUACGGCCGCAAGGCUGAA
rnacentral:rRNA from 1 species